ensembl:snRNA U6 U6 spliceosomal RNA
GUGCUUGCUUUGGCAGCACAUAUACUAAAACUGGAAUGAUACAGAAAAGUUUAGCAUGGCCCUGCACAAGGAUGACAUGCAAAUUCAUGAAGCAUUCCAUAAAAAG